CAAGUUUUAGUUUCUAGGAAACUCUGUUAUUUACAAUAAUAGGUUGGUUGUGCAAUUCUACCAUUCUUGA
rnacentral:tRNA from 1 species